GUUGAAACACCAGUUCCCGUAGGAUUAUCGAAGUUAAGAAACGUCGACCCUGGUCAUUACCUAGAUGGGUGACCGCUCGGGAAUACCAGGAGCUGUAAG